rnacentral:rRNA from 1 species
CCUACGGGAGGCAGCAGUGGGGAAUAUUGGGCAAUGGGCGCAAGCCUGAACCAGCAACGCCGCGUGAAGGAAGAAGGCUUUCGGGUUGUAAAAUUCUUUUCUCAGGGACGAAGCAAGUGACGGUACCUGAGGAAUAAGCCACGGCUAACUACGUGCCAGCAGCCGCGGUAAUACGUAGGUGGCAAGCGUUAUCCGGAUUUAAGGGGUGUAAAGGGCGUGUAGGCGGGAAAGCAAGUCAGAUGUGAAAACCAUGGGCUCAACCUGUGGCUUGCAUUUGAAACUGUUUUUCUUGAGUACUGGAGAGGCAGACGGAAUUCCUAGUGUAGCGGUGAAAUGCGUAGAUAUUAGGAGGAACACCAGUGGCGAAGGCGGUCUGCUGGACAGCAACUGACGCUGAGGCGCGAAAGCGUGGGGAGCAAACAGGAUUAGAUACCCCAGUAGCC